ensembl:lncRNA novel transcript, antisense to MID2
ACAUCCCAGGAGACACCAGGUGGGGCGUGGCACCUCCCACACACGGCUGGAGGGACUCCCAGGAUUUCCCGUCCUUCCGAAUUCGUGGGGGGUCAGAGGACUGCGGGGAGGCGUUUCUCAUCCUCGCUGGGGAAAGGACUCACCUGGUUCCCAAAGCCAGUUUGCUCUUCCUCUACUUCCUGCCAGAGGUCGUAGGAUUUCUGAUGAUCUGCCCUGAUGUCCCAACAUUCUUGGGAAUGAAAGGACAUGAAUGGAAGGUCAGCAGAAGGGAAGAAGAGAAGAGGAGCCUGGCCUUAAAGAACAAUGGAAAGAAGCAGUCAUAGGAAUCCUGGACCAGGAAUAUGUGCCUGAGAGGGAUUAUACACCUGGUGCUGACGGAGUCUUGCUCUGUUGUCCAGGCUGGAGUGCAGUGGCAUGAUCUCGGCUCAAUUCAACCUCCACCUCCCAAGUUCAAGUGAUUCUCCAGCCUCAGCCCCCAAACCCCCCCAACCCCGCCGAGUAGCUGGGACUAUAGGCAUGCGCCACCAUUCCCGGCUAAUUUUUGUAUUUUUAGUAGAGAUGGGUUUCAUCAUGUUGGCCAGGCUGGUCUCGAACACCUGACCUCAAGCGAUCCAUCCACCUUCGGCCUCCUAAAGUGCUAGGAUUACAGGUGUAAGCCACCAAGUAACUGUUUGGAACAUGGAAGAAAAAGGUGGGAGAUAUAACCUAUGUUUUUCAUCUGGUAUUUUAUGUACAUAGCUAUAAAAUUUUUUGUGAAAUGAGGCAGAAACCUCCUUUCUAUCUCGUCAGAACCAUGUAAUUAGAUCUUAAAAAGACUGAAGAAAUAAUCGAUUCCUACUCCAUCACUUAAGAGACAGAAAUAUGGGGCCUAGAGAGGGGAGAGGCUUAUCCAGCAUCACAUUGCUACUAAAUGACAGGGCAAGGCUUGAGCCAGAUCUUCUGAGUCCUAUCCAGUGUUCUUUCCAAUCUACUGCUUGUUUUGUAAAGCAUGGCACUUGCUUAUAAAUCCCUCUGAAGAAAUAAAACUCUCUAGCUCUCAUCCUUGUGUAUUUACCCUAGAAAUAUGAACAUUUAUGUCCACACAAAAACCUUACACGAAUGGUCAUAACAGCUUUGUUUCUAUUAGCAAAAAACUGGAAACAACUGAAAUGCUCUUCACCGUGGGCACAUAUAAACAAAUUGUAGAAUAUUCACAUAGUAGAAUACUACUUAGUAAUAAAAAAUAAAAAACUAUUGAUGUACACAACAAAUUCAGUGGCUCUCAGGGCCAUUAUGAUGAGUGACAUAGCAAAUCACAGUAUUUUACAUACUAUAUGAUUCCAUUUACAUAACAUUCUAGAAAUGAGAAAAUUAUAGUAAUGAUGAACAUAUCAGUGGUUGCUGGGGGACAGAUGUGCCUAUAAAGAAGUAGCACAAAUGAGUUUUGGGGGGAUGAUAAAACAAUAAUGUCCUAAUUACAGUGGUGAUUACAAGAAUCUAUAAAUGUGAUAAGAUUAAUAGAACUAUCCACCCCCCCCCCAAAAAAAGUUGAGUGCAUGCAAAAGCUGGUAAAAAUCAAAUGAGGUCUAUAGUUUGCUCAAUAGAAUUAUUGUACCAAUGACAGUUUCCUAGUUCUGAUAGUUGUGUGGUUAUGUAAGAUGUUAACAUUAGAGAAGGUUAGUUAAAUGUAUGUGGGAACUCUCUGUAUUAUUUUAGCAACUUUUAUGUAAGAUUAAACUUAUUUUUAAAAAGAAAAAAGAAAGAAAACUCUCUAGAAGUCCCAUAAUGUUUUAGGCAGGCCUGGUCAACCAACAUUUCUGUAGUUUUCUGAAGUUCUAAUAUAUCUUCAGGCCUUUGCUCAACUGGCGUUCUCUCUCUCUCUCUCUCUUUCACACACACACACACACACACACACACACACACACACUCACCCCACUCUGUAACCUAGUUUAUUUUUAUCCGUAAUACUUAUAAUCCCUAAUAAAAAUAUGUUUGUUUAUUGUGUGUCUCCUCCCAUU